AUAAGUUUUAUCGACUGAAGAAAGUAACUGGGGACAAGCCUAUUUUCCUGAAGACAUUCCUCUGUUGUGAAAAAAUACUUUGGAAAAAUUUGCACCCUUGCUGGCCAGAGUCGGCCAAAGAUCAUAUUUUCACGUAAAGUUUGCACUAAUAUUGAGCUGUACAAUUUUCUGGGACAGGUCUCACUGG